rnacentral:rRNA from 1 species
GAUGAACGCUGGCGGCGUACCUAAUACAUGCAAGUCGAGCGAAUGGAUUGAGAGCUUGCUCUUAUGAAGUUAGCGGCGGACGGGUGAGUAACACGUGGGUAACCUGCCCAUAAGACUGGGAUAACUCCGGGAAACCGGGGCUAAUACCGGAUAACAUUUUGAACCGCAUGGUUCGAAAUUGAAAGGCGGCUUCGGCUGUCACUUAUGGAUGGACCCGCGUCGCAUUAGCUAGUUGGUGAGGUAACGGCUCACCAAGGCAACGAUGCGUAGCCGACCUGAGAGGGGGAUCGGCAACACUGGGACUGAGACACGGCCCAGACUCCUACGGGAGGCAGCAGUAGGGAAUCUUCCGCAAUGGACGAAAGUCUGACGGAGCAACGCCGCGUGAGUGAUGAAGGCUUUCGGGUCGUAAAACUCUGUUGUUAGGGAAGAACAAGUGCUAGUUGAAUAAGCUGGCACCUUGACGGUACUUAACCAGAAAGCCACGGCUAACUACGUGCCAGCCGCCGCAGUAA